rnacentral:rRNA from 1 species
UAAGGCAUCCCUAGUAGCGGCGAGCGAGCGGGAAGAGCUCAAAUUUGUAAUCUGGCGCUUUCAGCGUCCGAGUUGUAAUCUCUAGAAAUGUUUUCCGCGUUGGACCGCACACAAGUCUGUUGGAAUACAGCGGCACAGUGGUGAGACCCCCGUUCAUGGUGCGGAUGCCCAAUGCUUUGUGAUACAUUUUCGAAGAGUCGAGUUGUUUGGGAAUGCAGCUCAAAUUGGGUGGUAAAUUCCAUCUAAAGCUAAAUAUUGGCGAGAGACCGAUAGCGAACAAGUACCGUGAGGGAAAGAUGAAAAGCACUUUGGAAAGAGAGUUAACAGUACGUGAAAUUGUUGGAAGGGAAACGCUUGAAGUCAGACUUGCUAUUCGGAGUUCAGCCGCAAGGUGUACUCUCCGAGUUGCAGGCCAGCAUCAGUUUUCUGGGGUGGAAAAUCACGGUUUGAAGGUAGCAGUUUCGGCUGUGUUAUAACUUUCCGUUGGAUACAUCCUGGGAGACUGAGGAACGCAGUGUGCAUUUUUGGGGGUUCCCACCUCUUACGACUAGAGAAGGGAUGAAUGGUUUUCA